rnacentral:rRNA from 1 species
CCUACGGGGGACUGCAGUGGGGGAUAUUGCACAAUGGGGGGAACCCUGAUGCAGCGACGCCGCGUGGGUGAAGGAGUAUUUCGGUAUGUAAAGCCCUAUCGGCAGGGAAGAAAUUGGACGGUACCUGACUAAGAAGCCCCGGCUAACUACGUGCCAGCAGCCGCGGUAAUACGUAGGGGGCAAGCGUUAUCCGGAUUCACUGGGUGUAAAGGGAGCGUAGACGGCCAUGCAAGCCAGGGGUGAAAGCCCGGGGCCCAACCCCGGGACUGCCCUUGGAACUGCAUGGCUGGAGUGCGGGAGGGGCAGGCGGAAUUCCUGGUGUAGCGGUGAAAUGCGUAGAUAUCAGGAGGAACACCGGCGGCGAAGGCGGCCUGCUGGACCGCGACUGACGUUGAGGCUCGAAAGCGUGGGGAGCGAACAGGAUUAGAUACCCGUGUAGUC